AACGAACGCUGGCGGCAUGCCUAACACAUGCAAGUCGAACGGGACCUUCCGGCCUAGUGGCGCACGGGUGCUUACCGACUGGGAACCUGCCCUUAGGUACCGAACCACUCCCCGUAAGGUGUGCUAAUACCGGAUAAUCUCUUCCCACCAAAGAUUUAUCGCCUUUGGAUGGGCGCGCGUUGGUUUAGCCAGUUGGUAGGGUAAAAGCCGACCAAGGCGACGAUCCAUAGCUGGUCUGAGAGGAUGAUCAGCCACACUGGGACUGAGACACGGCCCAGACUCCUACGGGAGGCAGCAGUGGGGAAUAUUGGACAAUGGGCGAAAGCCUGAUCCAGCAAUGCCGCGUGAGUGAUGAAGGCCUUAGGGUUGUAAAGCUCUUUUACCCGGGAUGAUAAUGACAGUACCGGGAGAAUAAGCUCCGGCUAACUCCGUG
rnacentral:rRNA from 1 species